AAUAGUCAAAGGAGAGAAUAACAUUUCAUUCUCGUCAAUUUGUUUAAUAAGAAUUGAAAGAAAUCUGUAAACAGUGUUAAAGCGUGUAAUGUAUAAAGGGUAUACAAGUGUGUAUACUUGAAUAAAUACAUAGAACCUUUUACGAAUAUAAUAGAAAAGACAUUUUGCGUGUGCGUGCUGUGUUACAAGUGAAAAUACAUUUUCGAGAUAGCUUGUUUUGUGUUUACUGAUUCAUUAUCAGAGGAAAACCGUUUAAAGCGUUGAGGGCAAAGUCGAUGCAGCCAUGUAUGCAGCUGCGUUCACACAAUGGGAAAGCCUCGAAUUCUGAACAUGACUCGACUACAACGGAUUCGUCGGAAUAUCGGGUGUUUAAUACUGGUACAUUAUUUCGAUAAGUUAUACGACAUUAGAAGCACCGAUAUCCGACGUAAGUUGCUUUUCCCCUUUUUUCCCGGCUUGUCGACAAAAACAUCUGUGAAAUUCUAUUUCUGUUCCUUUCUCAUUCUUUUCUGAGCUUUUGGCAGAAUGUUUUUCCUGUCUUGUAAACUUACGGAUUGCUUGAUUUUAAUUAUUUUACUCUCGACUUUUUUUUCUUCUUUUUCUUUUAAGAGAUCUCUUUGAAUAAUAACGAAGUAUGUUACUCCGAAUUUGCGAAUUUAAAAUUUAAACAGCGAUUCUUUGUCCAACAAUUUCGUUUAUUCGAUGCAAUUAACUAAAAAAAAAAAAAAAAAAUAAAAAAAAACCAGUGAAGAAGUUCUCGUGGAACUUUUAAGUUUUAAAUGUUUCUUAUAAUCAUAAAUUAUCGAUCCUUCGAAUUCAGGCUGAACCAA